rnacentral:tRNA from 1 species
GCCGCCUUCGUCUAGCCUGGUCUAGGACGACGGGUUCUCAGCCCGCAAACACCGGUUCAAAUCCGGUAGGCGGCACCA